ACAUUGUGCACUUGUCAUUCGGUACUAUGAAACAGCGUAAGUUAGUUUGUAUUCAUGUCGUGAAAUGAUAACACCGUUAAAACACAAGAUGAUGUGGUCCCUCAAUGUUGGUUUCAUGAAAGUCAACAAAAAGCCUUAGUUUUAAGAUGUAGAUCGGUCUGCAAAUAAACAAACUCCUUGCCUAGUAUGAACGUCCCAGUCUAUGGAGUGUCCUAUUUGAGGGCUUAAGAUAGGC